AGCUGGUAAACGGGAACCAAAUCGUGAAGUAAAUGCGGAUUUGGUCCCCUUCAACCAGCCGU
rnacentral:pre_miRNA from 1 species